rnacentral:rRNA from 1 species
AACGGAAAGGCCCUGCUUGCAGGGUACUCGAGUGGCGAACGGGUGAGUAACACGUGGGUGAUCUGCCCUGCACUUCGGGAUAAGCUUGGGAAACUGGGUCUAAUACCGGAUAGGAGCCAUCUUUAGUGUGGUGGUUGGAAAGUUUUUUCGGUGUAGGAUGAGCUCGCGGCCUAUCAGCUUGUUGGUGGGGUAAUGGCCUACCAAGGCGGCGACGGGUAGCCGGCCUGAGAGGGUGUACGGCCACAUUGGGACUGAGAUACGGCCCAGACUCCUACGGGAGGCAGCAGUGGGGAAUAUUGCACAAUGGGCGCAAGCCUGAUGCAGCGACGCCGCGUGGGGGAUGAAGGCCUUCGGGUUGUAAACUCCUUUCGCUAGGGACGAAGCUUUUUUGUGACGGUACCUAGAUAAGAAGCACCGGCUAACUACGUGCCAGCAGCCGCGGUAAUACGUAGGGUGCGAGCGUUGUCCGGAAUUACUGGGCGUAAAGGGCUCGUAGGUGGUUUGUCGCGUCGUCUGUGAAAUUCUGGGGCUUAACUCCGGGCGUGCAGGCGAUACGGGCAUAACUUGAGUGCUGUAGGGGUAACUGGAAUUCCUGGUGUAGCGGUGAAAUGCGCAGAUAUCAGGAGGAACACCGAUGGCGAAGGCAGGUUACUAGGCAGUUACUGACGCUGAGGAGCGAAAGCAUGGGUAGCGAACAGGAUUAGAUACCCUGGU